rnacentral:rRNA from 1 species
GACAGAGGGGGCAAGCGUUGCUCGGAAUUACUGGGCGUAAAGGGCGCGUAGGCGGGAGGGCAAGUCGGUCGUGAAAUCCCUCGGCUCAACCGAGGAACGUCGAUCGAUACUGCUGUUCUUGAGGAUUGCAGAGGAGACUGGAAUUCCCGGUGUAGCGGUGAAAUGUGUAGAGAUCGGGAGGAACACCGGUGGCGAAGGCGGGUCUCUGGGCAAUUCCUGACGCUGAGGCGCGAAAGCGUGGGGAGCAAACGGG